ACAGCAGCAGCAGACGCGUCUGGCUCUGCCUCUCUGUGCCGAGCGCUGGCAAUCAGAGUUACCCGGCCUUGUUCUGAGGCUGGGCACCAAGCUCCUGUCGCUGUCAGCUCUGAGAGUGUUCCCAGAGUCAAACCCAGAUCCUUCUGCCAGGCAGAAGCACGGGUUUGAAGAUGGACUUUAGUGGAAAAGGAAAAACCUCUGAAGGAAAAGGCCUGACUGGCUACCCUCUCGCCAAGAGGUUUUCUCUGGCAAAUCCCUCUAUGCUCCUUCCCUCCAAGCCAUUGCCUCCCAUCCAGAAGAGCUCUCCUUCUACCACACCAAGUCAGACAUGCAGUGGAGAGGAGGAGAAUGGGAAAAAUGGCAGUGGCUGUGAUGAGCACCGGGCAAAAAUACAGGAGCUGAGCUCAGAGAGAAAAGGCCAUAAGGCUGCCUUGCUGCAUUCCAUUGGUGGGGAUAUGAAGAAGGGGUCACUGGGACUGCCUUUGGUCCCCCCAAUAGGCAAGGCAGGAGGUCCCCCUGUGGGCAGUG